ACAUGCAAGUCGAGCGAAGCAGUUAAGUUGAUUUCUUCGGAUUGAUUCUUAACUGACUGAGCGGCGGACGGGUGAGUAACGCGUGGGUGACCUGCCCCAUACCGGGGGAUAACAGCUGGAAACGGCUGCUAAUACCGCAUAAGCGCACAGAGCUGCAUGGCUCGGUGUGAAAAACUCCGGUGGUAUGGGAUGGGCCCGCGUCUGAUUAGGCAGUUGGCGGGGUAACGGCCCACCAAACCGACGAUCAGUAGCCGGCCUGAGAGGGCGACCGGCCACAUUGGGACUGAGACACGGCCCAAACUCCUACGGGAGGCAGCAGUGGGGAAUAUUGCACAAUGGGGGAAACCCUGAUGCAGCGACGCCGCGUGAGCGAAGAAGUAUUUCGGUAUGUAAAGCUCUAUCAGCAGGGAAGAUAAUGACGGUACCUGACUAAGAAGCCCCGGCUAACUACGUGCCAGCAGCCGCGGUAAUACGUAGGGGGCAAGCGUUAUCCGGAUUUACUGGGUGUAAAGGGAGCGUAGACGGCAAGGCAAGUCUGAUGUGAAAACCCAGGGCUUAACCCUGGGACUGCAUUGGAAACUGUCUGGCUCGAGUGCCGGAGAGGUAAGCGGAAUUCCUAGUGUAGCGGUGAAAUGCGUAGAUAUUAGGAAGAACACCAGUGGCGA
rnacentral:rRNA from 1 species